AAUACAUGCAAGUCGAACGGAGUUAAUACCAAUAUUGACUUAGUGGCGAACGGGUGAGUAACGCGUUGGUGAUCUGCCUCGAAGUGUGGAAUAACGUUCCGAAAGGAACGCUAAUACCGCAUGUGCUCUCGAUUUUUACAAAGUUGAGAGUAAAGGAUUUAUUCGCUUCGAGAGGAGCCUGCGUCCCAUCAGCUGGUUGGUAGGGUAACGGCCUACCAAGGCUAUGACGGGUAGGGGACCUGAGAGGGUGGCCCCCCACAAUGGAACUGAAACACGGUCCAUACACCUACGGGUGGCAGCAGUAGGGAAUAUUAGAAAUGGACGGAAGUCUGAUCUACCGACACCGCGUGUGCGAAGAAGGCUUCGGGUCGUAAAGCACUUU
rnacentral:rRNA from 1 species